rnacentral:pre_miRNA from 1 species
GUAGUAUUCCCUCCGUCCCAAAAUUCUUGUCUUACAUUUGUUUAGAUACGGAUGUAUCUAACACUAAAAUGUAACUAGAUACAUCCGUAUUUAGACAAAUUUAAGACAAGAAUUUUCGGACGGAGGGAGUACAAA